UACGUAGGCAGCGAGCGUUGUUCGGAAUUACUGGGCGUAAAGAGUGUGUAGGCGGUGCUCCAAGUCUGGUGUGAAAUCUCCCGGCUUAACUGGGAGGGUGCGCCGGAAACUGGAGUGCUAGAGGGUGGGAGAGGUAAGCGGAAUUCCUGGUGUAGCGGUGAAGUGCGUAGAUAUCAGGAGGAACACCGGUGGUGUAGACGGCUUUCUGGACCGUAACUGACGCUGAGACACGAAAGCGUGGGUAGCAAACAGG
rnacentral:rRNA from 1 species